UUAAACGUCCAUACCACGUUUAAUUCACCGGUUUUCGUUCGAUCACCGAAGUUAAGCAACGUCGAGCGCGGUCAGUACUUGGAUGGGGACCCUCUGGGAACACCGCGUGUCGCUGUCU
rnacentral:rRNA from 1 species